UACAGAGGUGGCAAGCGUUGUUCGGAAUUACUGGGCGUAAAGGGCGCGUAGGCGGUCAGGUCAGUCCCGUGUGAAAUCCCUCGGCUCAACUGAGGAACUGCACGGGAAACUGCCUGGCUUGAGUUCGGGAGAGGGAAGCGGAAUUCCGGGUGUAGCGGUGAAAUGCGUAGAUAUCCGGAGGAACACCGAUGGCGAAGGCAGCCCCCUGGGCUGAGAUUGACGCUCAGGCACGAAAGCGUGGGGAGCGAACAGG
rnacentral:rRNA from 1 species